UACGUAGGGGGCAAGCGUUGUCCGGAUUUAUUGGGCGUAAAGAGCGUGUAGGCGGCCAGGUAGGUCUGCUGUGAAAACUCGAGGCUUAACCUCGAGCUGUCGGCGGAAACCAUCUGGCUAGAGUCCGGAAGAGGAGAAUGGAAUUCCCGGUGUAGCGGUGAAAUGCGUAGAGAUCCGGAGGAACCCCAGAGGCGAAGGCGGCGUCCUGGCUCGCAUCUGACGCUCAGACACGACAGCAUGGGGAGCGAACGGG
rnacentral:rRNA from 1 species